rnacentral:rRNA from 1 species
AUAGUCUGGGGAUACCACUUGGGAAACAGGUGCUAAUACCCGGGAUAAGAAAGCAGAUCGCAUGAUCAGCUUUUAAAGGCGGGCGUAAAGCUGUCGCUAUGGGGAUGGGCCCCCGCGGUGCAUUAGCUAGUUGUAAAGGUAAGGCUUACAGGGCGAUGAUGCAUAGCCGAGUUGAGAGACUGAUCGGCCACAUUGGGACUGAGACACGGCCAAAACUCUACGGGGAGGCAGCAGUAGGAAUCUUCCACAAUGGACGCAAGUCUGAUGGAGCAACGCCGCGUGAGUGAAGUAAGGUUUUCGGAUCGUAAAAGCUCUGUUGUUGGUGAAGAAGGAUAGAGGUAGUAACUGGCCUUUAUUUGACGGUAAUCAACCAGAAGUCACGGCUAACUACGUGCCAGCAGCCGCGGUAAU